rnacentral:rRNA from 1 species
CCGGCGCACGGGUGAGUAACACGUAUGCGAUCCACCUGUAACAGGGGGAUAACCCGGAGAAAUCCGGACUAAUACCCCAUAAUAUGGGCGCUCCGCAUGGAGAGUUCAUUAAAGAGAGCAAUUUUGGUUACAGACGAGCAUGCGCUCCAUUAGCCAGUUGGCGGGGUAACGGCCCACCAAGGCGACGAUGGAUAGGGGUUCUGAGAGGAAGGUCCCCCACAUUGGAACUGAGAUACGGUCCAA